rnacentral:rRNA from 1 species
UACGGAGGAGGCAAGCGUUAUCCGGAAUGAUUGGGCGUAAAGCGUCCGCAGGUGGCUAUGUAAGUCUGCUGUUAAAGAGUGAGGCUCAACCUCAUAAGAGCAGUGGAAACUACAUGGCUAGAGUGCGUUCGGGGCAGAGGGAAUUCCUGGUGUAGCGGUGAAAUGCGUAGAGAUCAGGAAGAACACCGGUGGCGAAAGCGCUCUGCUAGGCCGCAACUGACACUCAUGGACGAAAGCUAGGGGAGCGAAUGGG